CCAAGUUCUAUUGAUAUACCAGCCAAACAGGUUUCUAAUCACAAAUUUUGAGAUCCAUGGGGUGGUCCAUUCCGUUUCUUUGAUUGACUUGCACAGAGGCUUAACAACAAGUUUGGCCUUAAUAAGAAGUCUUUGAACCUCUCGUGCUUCGCUAUUUUACAUCAUCAGAGAAGACAAAUGAAUCUCAGAUUGAAGGCUAACAUCAUCGAAUAGGCCCAGUAGAUCCGACCUUCAGGAAUAUACGCGGGUAGUUAUUUCUUUAUAUGUUCUACAUUUGUUUCAGUAGUUAUCUUUGAAUGAGACAAUUGAAAUUAAUCGUGUGAAAUAUAGUAGUUACACAUCAACGAUGCAAAUAAUGAACCAUGUUCAUUUCGAAAUCAUUAUUUCCACAUUACAAAGGCAUUCACUUGGAUGACCAUCAGCAAAUUUCAUACCCUCGGUGAUUGCAAAAUGGUUGGCAAUGUUGUUGGUGUCCUGCAUGCUCCCGAUUAGAAGCACACUCUAGUUUGGACUAGAAUAUAAUGACACAUUGACAUAAUCUCUGAUGAAUACUAUAGGGAUACGAAGGGCUGCAGGGCCUUGAUGACAUUACUGUGGGGAUGUCAACGUUUGGUACAUGACCCGCGUUUAAUCCUAAUGUUGGGCCCAAGGCAGGCAUCUUGUGUCAUGCAAAAGAAAACAGCUUGAGAUGGAUUCUCCUGCUUACUUCCAUGUGAAUGCGUUCUUCCUUGCAUGCAGGACCACUUCACUAGGAGCAACUAUGACCUCUUCUUGUUUUCAUAAGACAA